rnacentral:rRNA from 1 species
GACGAACGCUGGCGGCGUGCUUAACACAUGCAAGUCGAACGGAAAGGCCCUGCUUUUGUGGGGUGCUCGAGUGGCGAACGGGUGAGUAACACGUGAGUAACCUGCCCUUGACUUUGGGAUAACUUCUGGAAACUGGGGCUAAUACCGGAUAUGAGCUCCUGCUGCAUGGUGGGGGUUGGAAAGUUUCGGCGGUUGGGGAUGGACUCGCGGCUUAUCAGCUUGUUGGUGGGGUAGUGGCUUACCAAGGCUUUGACGGGUAGCCGGCCUGAGAGGGUGGCCGGCCACAUUGGGACUGAGAGACGGCCCAGAAGCCGACGGGAGGCAGGAGUGGGGAGUAUUACACAAUGGGCGGGAGGCUGAUGCAGCGACGCCGCGUGCGGGAUGACGGCCUUCGGGUUGUAAACCGCUUUCGACUGUGACGAAGCGUGAGUGACGGUAAUGGGUAAAGAAGCACCGGCUAACUACGUG